rnacentral:rRNA from 1 species
UACAGAGGGUGCAAGCGUUAUUCGGAAUUAUUGGGCGUAAAGAGCGCGUAGGCGGCUCGGUAAGUUUGAUGUGAAAGCUCAGGGCUUAACCCUGAAAUGGCAUUGAAUACUGUUGGGCUGGAGGUUUGGAGGGGGGACUGGAAUUCUUGGUGUAGCAGUGAAAUGCGUAGAUAUCAAGAGGAACACCAGUGGCGAAGGCGAGUCCCUGGACAACACCUGACACUGAGGCACGAAAGCUAGGGGAGCAAACAGG